rnacentral:rRNA from 1 species
ACGACUGCUAAGACUGGAUAGGAGACAAGAAGGCAUCUUCUUGUUUUUAAAAGACCUAGCAAUAGGUAUGCUUAGGGAGGAGCUUGCGUCACAUUAGUUAGUUGGUGGGGUAAAGGCCUACCAAGACUAUGAUGUGUAGCCGGGCUGAGAGGUUGAACGGCCACAUUGGGACUGAGACACGGCCCAAACUCCUACGGGAGGCAGCAGUAGGGAAUUUUCGGCAAUGGAGAAAACUCUGACCGAGCAACGCCGCGUGAACGAUGAAGUAUUUCGGUACGUAAAGUUCUUUUAUUAGGGAAGAAUAAAUAAUGGAAAAAUCAUUCUGACGGUACCUAAUGAAUAAGCCUCGGCUAACUAUGUGCCAGCAGCCGCGGUAAUACAUAGGGGGCAAGCGUUAUCCGGAAUUAUUGGGCGUAAAGGGUGCGUAGGCGGUUAAAUAAGUUUAUGGUCCAAGUGCAAUGCUCAACAUUGUGAUGCUAUAAAAACUGUUUAGCUAGAGUAAGAUAGAGGCAAGUGGAAUUCCAUGUGUAGUGGUAAAAUGCGUAAAUAUAUGGAGGAACACCAGUAGCGAAGGCGGCUUGCUGGGUCUUUACUGACGCUGAGGCACGAAAGCGUGGGGAGCAAACAGGAUUAGAUACCCUGGUAGUCCACGCCGUAAACGAUGAGUACUAAACGUUGGGUAAAACCAGUGUUGAAGUUAACACAUUAAGUACUCCGCCUGAGUAGUACGUACGCAAGUAUGAAACUUAAAGGAAUUGACGGGACUCCGCACAAGCGGUGGAUCAUGUUGUUUAAUUCGAAGGUACCCGAAAAACCUCACCAGGUCUUGACAUGCUUCUGCAAAGCUGUAGAAACACAGUGGAGGUUAUCAGUUGCACAGGUGGUGCAUGGUUGUCGUCAGCUCGUGUCGUGAGAUGUUGGGCUAAGUCCCGCAACGAGCGCAACCCUUAUUGUUAGUUACCAGCACGUAAUGGUGGGGACUUUAGCAAGACUGCCAGUGAUAAAUUGGAGGAAGGUGGGGACGACGUCAAAUCAUCAUGCCCCUUAUGACCUGGGCUACAAACGUGAUACAAUGGCUGUUACAAAGGGUAGCUGAAGCGCAAGUUUUUGGCGAAUCUCAAAAAAACAGUCUCAGUUCGAAUUGAAGUCUGCAACUCGACUUCAUGAAGUUGGAAUCGCUAGUAAUCGCGAAUCAGCAUGUCGCGGUGAAUACGUUCACGGGGUUUGUACACACCGCCCGUCA